ensembl:lncRNA
CCAGCAGGGACCCCCUCAAACCCCGUUGCUGGUCCUGACCCUGAGCGGUGGCCCCUGGGCCACAUCUGGGUGGGACGGGAGAGAGCCAUCAGUCAGUGUCUGAGGGCCCAACCUAUACACCACGUCUCCUCUCUCCUAGAGUCAAGGCGCGGGUGGAGCUAGGGCGCUGAGAUGCCUGUCCCUCCCUCCAGGAGUUUGCGGUCUGCCCAGCACACUCCACACCACCGAAGGAGAAGCCAAAGCAGGCUGCAUGGAGGAGGCAGCAUUUCAGCUUAUCCUUAGAUGCCUGGAAGGGUAGAGGAGGAGGAAGGGCAUUGCAGGCGGCUCAGAGUAAAGUGACGAGCAGCCCGCGGUAUGGAGUGCUGGCUCUGGGUCCACCUCCGGCCCUUUGGUUCUGCUCUCUCUCUCCUCCUCUUUGAGGUCGGUGACACCGUGCCACUACUUUACAAAGGAGGAAACUGAGGCCCAGGCACUCACCAAGGCCCUGUGGCACCUCCCACGCAGGGCUGGUGCGCUAGGGGGGGUUGGUGAGUGUGGUCGCACAUUCCAGCUUCAUCAUCUGUAAAGCAAGGGUGACAGGGUGGUCCCCAGGGGCCAGCGGGAGCACAGGCGAGGCCUUGGAAGCGCACCGAGGAUACCCUUUUCGCACUGGGAGCAGCAGGCCGGGCCAGAGGCCCCAGGGCUGGGGGAAGGUGUCUGGAAAGAGCGCGGUCCUGCCAAGGCCAAGCGGGCGUGCAGGUACUGGGGAUUUGGCAUUAACAAAGCCCAUGUUCUCACAAGGCUGACAUUUUAGCUGGAGCAACAACAACAAAAAUAAACAGGCGGGGUACAUGGCCAUACCUCAGCCUCACCAGGGAGGCCCCGCAGAGCCACGCUAAAGCCCCGAGGUGCUGGCCAGCUCCGUGGGACCCCACAGCUGAGCAGCCAGAGCAAGGAGAGAGCACCUUGACCUGGACUACAGUCUCUAGGGGCAGGGGGCAGCCAGCCCGUUCUCCCGCCGGAGCUCCUGCGGCACAGGUGCGGCCCCGCCUCCUGCCCGCCCAGGCCUCGUCCGGUCCCGGCUGUCCUCCCUUUCCUCUGCUGAGGGACAGCUGGGAGGGGGGGCCAAGGAUGGGGCCAAGGAGGGAGGCGGGGGUGCUGCGGCCAGGCUGCUCGAGCUGUGCCCUUCUAUGGUCAUGCGGGGGCCGGAGGAACAUGGGGACAGCGCUGACGCGAGGAGCCAUUUCUGAGCGGGACACAGCUGUUUGCCGGUCGCCUCAGGGUGGAAGGACACUACCCCACCCCUGGCGACAGGGUCCCCUAGAGACCUUCGAGGGGCAGUGUGGCCCCCACAGCCCCAGCCUGGCACGUGCACCUUCUCCCUGACCGCUGUUUCCAGACGCUGCUCAGCCUCCCACCUCGGCCCAGUGCUGUGGUCCCCGAAGCCCCCGAACUAAGGCCCCCUGUAGGACGGUGCAAGGAGAAGGCGACCUCCCCCUCCCUCAUGCAGGCACACGUGCGCACACACUCAUGGCAGACAUUUUGCUCAUCUCCCUCAUUAUGAAUAAAGGCAUUGUCACAGGAUCA